AGGCUUACUCGGAGCUGCUCGCGGUCGGCCUCCAGCUCCUUGGCGAAGCUGUCCCGCUCGUGCCGAAGCCGACGGACGGUCCGGGACUUCUUCUUCGCGUCAUCCCGGGUCGACUGCAGCUCCGACUCCGAUGUCGCCAAGGCGCCCUUGAGUCGGGAGACCUCCUCCGUGAGUCGGGAGACCUCCCCCUCGAGUCGGCCCUCCCGUUCGACCGACUGUUGCAGCUGGUCGACCAGGACGACCUUGUCGGCUUCAACGGCCGCGACCUUGUCUCUCCAAGCCGCGCGCAUGUCGCUGAACUUCCGG
rnacentral:lncRNA from 1 species